rnacentral:tRNA from 1 species
AGCUUUAUAUUCAAUAAUGAUAUAAAAUUGCAAAUUUUAAGGUGUUUAUUUAAUAUUCUAAGGCUU